rnacentral:lncRNA from 1 species
CUCGCCUGCCGCCAUGUAAACGUUCUUUGCUCCUGCUUCGUCUUCUGCCGUGAUUGUGAGGCCUCCCCAGCCAUGUGGAACUACUCAUCACUCACUGCAGAUGUUACUUUAAGACAUUCUGGAGCAGCGUCAUGUGCAGGUCAGUGAGUUUCCUGUUGCUUUUUUUGGGUGUAUCACUGGUAUCGAUUCAUCAACGUUGAAUUCAUGGCCAACAGCACCAUUAACUAGUGACUGAAUGGAGCUAAUCUAACACAUGCAUUUUCUCCAUAAGACACAUCACAGUCUUGUGCUUCCUAUCCUGGGCAGCACUUCACCCUUAUGCUUGGGAGUAAUUUUAAACAGCAAAAUCACUAACAAAAAGCACAAAAAUGGAAAAACAUGACAUUAAAUAUACCGUGAAAAGGACACUUGUUUAUCCUAUGAGAGCUGAGACGAGAAAGCGCGCUGUUACCUUGUGUGAACUCAGUUGGGAAAGUGUACUUAGAGCACUCACAUUUUUUGCCACUCUGCACAUGUCCUCAGAUGACUUUUAGUCAUUAGUAGUGUGAUAUUGAUCUUGGGGUUAGAAAUAAACUUUAGUGAGUAGCAAAGUGGCAAAUAUGGAAUCCACAAACAAUGAAGCUUGGCCAUAUAUAAAAUAAAUAUGGGCUGAGACAUUUAACUUGGUAACAUUGCCGAGUUCCUAUUAUGCCUGAACACCCGCUUAGGGGUUAAGUUUCUACAAUUUUUAGAGAAACGUUUUCAUUGUCAAUAUCAAGGCAUCAUCAGAAUUGUCUUCAGUUAUUUAUUAUUUUGUAUUUUGUCAUUCUUGCUGUUGAUUUGUGAAUGUCAGUUAAAUUAAUUGUAUCUUUGGAGACCCAAUUUGUUGUGAAUGAUUUGGCAAACCACUUUAUUACAGUGAUGUGUUAGUAAAGAAUGUUUUUACUGUAAUUUGCCAGUUACUGGGCUUUAAGACAUUUAUUUAUUAUGAUUUAAAAAUGAAUAAUCCCAUUUUUGUAUGUAGUAACAAUUUAUUAGUUAUGUGCUUUCUGGAAGUAUGCUAUUUUAAGAACUAGCAAGUUACUUAUCAAUGCAAUUAUAUAAAAUUCAUGAGAUGUAGAACAUUAUUUCAAAGUAUACAAUUAAAUUCACAUAGUCAACCGUU